ACAACGGCCAUGCCCACGCCACGGACGAGUGAGGUCCGCGUGAGGAGUUCAGCUAUCGAGCAAGAGCCAGUUCCAGGGGAGGUGCAUCAGGGAAAGUUUCAUGCUGCUUGCUGGCGAGCGGCCAUAUCCAGGCGAGGUGAGGAGUUCGUCGGUGAGGCUGUCUCCCCUUCUGCGCAAUCUGGUCCGGAGAUAUCGAAUCCUUCCUGAUUUGGCUUCCUUUCUGCCCUCCACUCUUCUCUGGAGCUCUGGGUUCAGCCGCCGAGCCCCAUGUACCUCUAUUAUGAGGGCAUACCAGACUCUGCACAAGCUCUGAGGAACUGCAACCACUUCUACUAGGUGCCCUGCCACUCCCAAGUUUACAAGUAAAGGAAACAAUCAAGAAUCUUAUGUGUCAGAGGAGGUGAGGAGGGCGAUAUAUUCAAUCAAUUGUACUAGCUAUCAACAUCGAUGAACAAAUCAAAGGCACACCUGAAGCACUCGCAGCUACAGAACAUCAUACUCUAAAUUUUGUCCCAAGAAAGAAAUCGACAAAACUGGAACAAAUUCAGGCAUCUCAGUUGAGCAACUACUGAACCGAAUCGAGAAGGAUUUUAUACCUUGAAGGCGUAGGCUUCAGCCUCGAACAGAGCCCUCUUCAGCUCGCCGCUCCAGUACCCCUCUGGAAGCACAACCAUAACAGCACCGCAUCAGCUCGAUUCGAUCCACUCUUCCACCGUCGGCGAGACCCUUUGUGGUUUCUCUCACCUCGGAGGCGACGACAGAGGGAGAGAAUGCCUGGAUACCGGUGGUGCCCGUGAGCGCGGCCGUCACGUCCGCGACGACGACAGUAGCGGUGGAGGCACAAUCGUACAUGAACUCCAUCUCCUCCUCCUCCUCCAACGGCAUUGUUCCCGCAUCGAGGUGAGGGGGAUGUCGCUGUCAGGCGGAGCUCGUGUAGGCAGGCCGGUGGUCGGCGGAAGGUGGUCGUAGUCUUUCGCGGUGUGCUGUUUAGCUUAGCGUGACCAGGCAUGGCAGUGCGCAACAGGGGGGUGGACAGGUGGUGCGCAGAAGGGGGUAGGUGGGUCGACAGGUGGUGUUGGUGACUUGCUGCUCCUCAUUUAUUUAUUUCUCUUUGUUUUUCUUUCUAAAUAGUAGAACUGAAGGUAGAACACAUUUGGUGUUGAAAUUAUUUGUGUAGUUGUGCCAUUCUAUAUAUCUUCAUAAAUGGAAUCUCAAGGCUGAGAUUAUAAUGCUACUACUGAUAUGGGGGGUAGCAGAGUAUGGUGUUAUGAAGAUAUACCUUUGUCAACAAAUAUGUUGUUGCAUUU